GCUGGGUGCGGUGGCGCACACCUGUUAUCCCAGUGGAUUGGGAGGCUGAGGCAGGAGGAUUGAGAGUUCAAAGCCAGCCUUAU
rnacentral:sRNA from 1 species